AUUGAACGCUGGCGGCAUGCCUUACACAUGCAAGUCGAACGAGUGGCGGACGGGUGAGUAAUAUCUGGGAAACUGCCCGGUGGCGGGGGAUAACUACUUGAAACGGUAGCUAAUACCGCAUACCCUUGGAUUUGCCCAUAUGGGAUUAGCUAGUUGGUGGGGUACAGGCUCACCAAGGCCACGAUCCCUAGCUGGUUUGAGAGGAUGACCAGCCACACUGGGACUGAGACACGGCCCAGACUCCUACGGUAGGCAGCAGUGGGGAAUUUUGGACAAGGGGGGAAACCCUGAUGCAGCCAUCCCGCGUGUAUGAUGAAGGCCUUCGGGUUGUAAAGUACUUUUAGCGGGGAGGCGUUAUCCGCAGAAUAAGCACCGGCUAACUACGUGCCAGCCGCCGCGGUAAUAC
rnacentral:rRNA from 1 species